rnacentral:rRNA from 1 species
AGGACGAACGCUGGCGGCGUGCCUAAUACAUGCAAGUCGAACGGUCUUUCUAUGGAAGCUUGCUUCCACUGAGAAGAUAGUGGCGAACGGGUGAGUAACACGUGGGUAACCUGCCCAUAAGAGGGGGGAUAACAUCCGGAAACGGGUGCUAAUACCGCAUAGUUUUCUUGAUCGCAUGAUCGGGAAAGGAAAGACGGCCUUUGUGCUGUCGCUUAUGGAUGGACCCGCGGCGUAUUAGUUAGUUGGUGAGGUAACGGCUCACCAAGACGAUGAUACGUAGCCGACCUGAGAGGGUGAUCGGCCACAUUGGGACUGAGACACGGCCCAAACUCCUACGGGAGGCAGCAGUAGGGAAUCUUCCGCAAUGGACGAAAGUCUGACGGAGCAACGCCGCGUGAGUGAAGAAAGGGUUUUCGGAUCGUAAAACUCUGUUGUCAGAGAAGAACAAGUUGGAGAGUAACUGCUCCAGCCUUGACGGUAUCUGACCAGAAAGCCACGGCUAACUACGUGCCAGCCGCCGC